rnacentral:rRNA from 1 species
UACGGGGGGAGCAAGCGUUGUUCGGAUUACUGGGCGUAAAGGGCGCGUAGGCGGCCAGCACAAGUCAGUUGUGAAAUCUCCGAGCUUAACUCGGAAAGGUCAACUGAUACUGUGCGACUAGAGUGCAGAAGGGGCAACUGGAAUUCUCGGUGUAGCGGUGAAAUGCGUAGAUAUCGAGAGGAACACCUGCGGCGAAGGCGGGUUGCUGGGCUGACACUGACGCUGAGGCGCGAAAGCCAGGGGAGCGAACGGG